UACAGAGGGUGCAAGCGUUAAUCGGAUUUACUGGGCGUAAAGGGCGCGUAGGUGGUUAUGUAAGUGAGAGGUGAAAUCCCUCAGCUUAACUGGGGAACUGCGUCUGAUACUGGAUGGCUUGGAUUUGGGAGAGGGAUGCGGAAUUCCAGGUGUAGCGGUGAAAUGCGUAGAUAUCUGGAGGAACACCGGUGGCGAAGGCGGCAUCCUGGACCAAUAUUGACGCUGAGGAGCGAAAGCCAGGGGAGCAAACGGG
rnacentral:rRNA from 1 species